UACGUAGGGUGCAAGCGUUGUCCGGAAUUAUUGGGCGUAAAGAGCUCGUAGGCGGUCUGUCGCGUCGGAUGUGAAAAUCCAGGGCUCAACCCUGGACCUGCAUUCGAUACGGGCAGACUAGAGUUCGGUAGGGGAGACUGGAAUUCCUGGUGUAGCGGUGAAAUGCGCAGAUAUCAGGAGGAACACCGGUGGCGAAGGCGGAUCUCUGGGCCUUACCUGACGCUCAGGUGCGAAAGCUAGGGGAGCGAACAGG
rnacentral:rRNA from 1 species